AAAGCGUGCGCAGGCGGUUUUGUAAGUCUGUCGUGAAAUCCCCGGGCUCAACCUGGGAAUUGCGAUGGAGACUGCAAGGCUGGAGUUUGGCAGAGGGGGGUAGAAUUCCACGUGUAGCAGUGAAAUGCGUAGAUAUGUGGAGGAACACCGAUGGCGAAGGCAGCCCCCUGGGUCAAGACUGACGCUCAUGCACGAAAGCGUGGGGAGCAAACAGGAUUAGAUACCCGUGU
rnacentral:rRNA from 1 species